GGCAUGGUGUAGUGGUUUGAGCAUUGGACUAUGACUCUAGAGACCAGGGUUCAAAUCCCAGCUCAGCCA